AGUGAACGCUGGCGGCAGGCCUAACACAUGCAAGUCGAGCGGCAGCGCGUCCGACCACCCUCGGGUGGUCGGAUGGCGGCGAGCGGCGGACGGGUGAGGAAUGCAUCGGAAUCUGCCUCGUUGUGGGGGAUAACGUAGGGAAACUUACGCUAAUACCGCAUACGACCUACGGGUGAAAGUGGGGGACCUUCGGGCCUCACGCGAUGAGAUGAGCCGAUGCCGGAUUAGCUAGUUGGCGGGGUAAAGGCCCACCAAGGCGACGAUCCGUAGCUGGUCUGAGAGGAUGAUCAGCCACACCGGAACUGAGACACGGUCCGGACUCCUACGGGAGGCAGCAGUGGGGAAUAUUGCGCAAUGGGCGAAAGCCUGACGCAGCCAUACCGCGUGUGUGAAGAAGGCCU
rnacentral:rRNA from 1 species